rnacentral:rRNA from 1 species
GAUUGAACGCUGGCGGCAGGCCUAACACAUGCAAGUCGAACGGUAACAGGAAGAAGCUUGCUUCUUUGCUGACGAGUGGCGGACGGGUGAGUAAUGUCUGGGAAACUGCCUGAUGGAGGGGGAUAACUACUGGAAACGGUAGCUAAUACCGCAUAACGUCGCAAGACCAAAGAGGGGGACCUUCGGGCCUCUUGCCAUCGGAUGUGCCCAGAUGGGACUAGCUAGUAGGUGGGGUAACGGCUCACCUAGGCGACGAUCCCUAGCUGGUCUGAGAGGAUGACCAGCCACACUGGAACUGAGACACGGUCCAGACUCCUACGGGAGGCAGCAGUGGGGAAUAUUGCACAAUGGGCGCAAGCCUGAUGCAGCCAUGCCGCGUGUAUGAAGAAGGCCUUCGGGUUGUAAAGUACUUUCAGCGGGGAGGAAGGGAGUAAAGUUAAUACCUUUGCUCAUUGACGUUACCCGCAGAAGAAGCACCGGCUA